UGGGGUUCCAUCUCUCUUGCUCCUUCUCUCUCUUCUACUCUUUCAGUCAAACAUGGAUUAAAAAACAAAGAUUGAAAAAAUUGAAAGAAGCAGCAACAGUUGGAAAAUUUUUCUUGGGGAGGCCAAGCAGCAAGAACUUCAAUCAAUACCAAUCCAUUCAGAUUAGGUUUCUGCCAUGAAAGCUAAUAUAAACACCAAACAAUCCUAUGAGAUAAGAUCAAAAGUUUAUCUCUUUUUCAAGAUGUUGCUACUGCUUGUUGUCGUCCCCUCGCCAUCGCCACCAUCUCUUGGACAUACAAAGAGAUAAAAGUUUUUGCUUCAGCAUCGUUGUCGCCCCAUUCUUCUUGCUUCGCCGUCAUCUUUUCACCAUGGAGGCGUUGCUAGAUCUACUUCUGGUUUAUGCUCAGCCGGAGGAUCUAGCUGGAGGAUUUACGAUUGCGUAUGCACUUGUUGUGCCUUACCUGUCGUUUACAUCAAAUUCUUUGGAUUACACACUUCAACAGAAUCAAUUUUCCACUGCAAG
rnacentral:lncRNA from 1 species